GACAGAGGGUGCAAGCGUUGUUCGGAAUUACUGGGCGUAAAGCGCGUGUAGGCGGCCUCGCAAGUCGGGUGUGAAAGCCCUGGGCUCAACCCAGGAAGUGCACUCGAUACUGCAAGGCUUGAGUUCCGGAGAGGAAAGCGGAAUUCUCGGUGUAGAGGUGAAAUUCGUAGAUAUCGAGAGGAACACCGGUGGCGAAGGCGGCUUUCUGGACGGCGACUGACGCUGAGACGCGAAAGCGUGGGGAGCAAACAGG
rnacentral:rRNA from 1 species